rnacentral:hammerhead_ribozyme from 1 species
AUCCAGCUGACUCGUCCCAAAUAAGACGAAACGCGCUUCCUGGAU